GUGAAACAACUUUGCGCCGAUGAUAGUGCUGCAACCAGUGUGAAAGUAGGUUAUCGUCAGGC
rnacentral:rRNA from 1 species